CAAUUUUGUCGUUGACGCCUCCACAUCACCUGUUGCAACUCGUACAACACCUUGGUCAAAGAAAAGUAAUUCUGCAUAUGAAGCACAGGGUUCCAAUUACACCUCCUCUGUUAAGCGAAGAUUGUUAUCGUAACGCUGAAGAUGAUGACGCGUUCUUGCUACAACUGACGACAUGAUAACCGAAAAAUCCUUAAAAUUCAAGGCGAAGAAACAUACGGAUUACGUAUCGUGAAUGCAAAAUCAAAUUGGUAUAUCCAUGGAGAUCAGUUGCGCAUCAGAAAUAGAGAAAUAAUCAAGUGGUGAAAUCAAUUUCAUGGAUCGGGAUAUGUGGAGAGUAGGCAGGCGCGACAAUGGAUUUAGGGUUUGUAGAAAAC
rnacentral:lncRNA from 1 species